rnacentral:rRNA from 1 species
UACGAAGGGGGCUAGCGUUGCUCGGAAUUACUGGGCGUAAAGCGCACGUAGGCGGAUUGUUAAGUCGGGGGUGAAAUCCUGGAGCUCAACUCCAGAACUGCCUUCGAUACUGGCGAUCUCGAGUUCGGGAGAGGUGAGUGGAACUGCGAGUGUAGAGGUGAAAUUCGUAGAUAUCGUCAAGAACACCGAUUGCGAAGGCAGCUUACUAGACUGUAACUGACGCUGAGGCACGAAAGUGUGGGGAUCAAACAGG